AUACGGAGGAUCCAAGCGUUAUCCGGAAUCAUUGGGUUUAAAGGGUCCGUAGGUUGAUAAUUAAGUCAGAGGUGAAAUCUUGCAGCUCAACUGUAAAAUUGCCUUUGAUACUGGUUAUCUUGAGUUAUUAUGAAGUAGUUAGAAUAUGUAGUGUAGCGGUGAAAUGCAUAGAUAUUACAUAGAAUACCAAUUGCGAAGGCAGAUUACUAAUAAUCAACUGACACUGAUGGACGAAAGCGUGGGUAGCGAACAGGAUUAGAUACCCUGGUAGUCCACGCCGCAAACGAUGGUUACUAGCUGUUGGGUUCGGUGUAAAGGAUCUAGUGGCGUAGCUAACGCGGUAAGUACUCCGCCUGGGGACUACGGUCGCAAGACUAAAACUCAAAGGAAUUGACGGGGACCCGGCACAAGCGGUGGAGCAUGUGGUUUAAUUCGAUGCAACGCGAAGAACCUUAACCUGGUCUUGACAUACUAGAAACUUUUCAGAGAUGAAUUGGUGCCUCCGGGAAUCUAGA
rnacentral:rRNA from 1 species